rnacentral:rRNA from 1 species
GAUGAACGCUGGCGGCGUGCCUAACACAUGCAAGUCGAGCGAGAAACUUCGGCCUGAUCCUUCGGGAGAAGAAAGAAGUGGACAGCGGCGGACGGGUGAGUAACGCGUGGGAAACCUGCCCUAUACAAGGGGAUAGCCUCGGGAAACCGGGAUUAAUACCCUAUAAAACUCUAGCACCGCAUGGUGCAUGAGUCAAAACUCCGGUGGUAUAGGAUGGUCCCGCGUCCCAUUAGCUAGUUGGUGAGGUAAAAGCUCACCAAGGCGACGAUGGGUAGCCGGCCUGGGAGGGUGAACGGCCACACUGGAACUGAGACACGGUCCAGACUCCUACGGGAGGCAGCAGUGGGGAAUAUUGCACAAUGGGGGAAACUCUGAUGCAGCAACGCCGCGUGAAGGAUGAAGAUUUUCGGAUUGUAAACUUCUGUUCUUAGUGAAGAAAAAAAUGACGGUAUCUAAGGAGCAAGCUCCGACUAACUACGUGCCAGCAGCCGCCGUAACAC